UUGUUUCUAUUUCCCUCACUAACAUCCCGAUCUGCAGCCCUAAAUAACCUCUCUCACCCAACGCUCUGUCUCUAUCACGCCCAAACUCUCUCUGUCUCUCUUCUCGCCCAAGCUCGCCCAUGCCAAGCGCUCUCGCUCUCUAUCUCUAUCACGCCCAAACUCUCUCUCUGUCUCUCUUCUCACCCAAGCUCGCCCAUGCCAAGCGCUCUCUCUCUCUCUAUCUCUCUUGCCCAAGCUCCGCAGCGCCUUGAACAAGACAUAGUCGAGGUCCGAAAGAAUCGUCAGAGAGAAUAAGCUUUCGGGAAGAGAGUGGCGCCAGAUUCUUGAGGUAACGAGUGUUGGAAUCAAUACUGAAUGGGGAUUGUUGAUGGCAAGUAUAUCUCUGAGGAUACCUAUAAAGAAACUCUUCUACAGAUUUGUGUUCUUUCCAAUUUCUGACCUGAAACUGUUGAGGAUGCUAGCUAAUGAAGGUCCUGCAGAGUUGUGUUCCUUGCAAUCUCUGACCUGAAACUGUUGAGGAAGCUAGCAAAUGAAGGCGUUACAGUGUUGGGGUUGCCUUGACUAGUCUUUGUUUUUUUGUUUUUUUUUUUGGAUUUGUGAUUUUUGGUUGGUGUAAGAAUGAUAGAUAUUGUAUUUUGAUAUUUGUCAAUUUAUAAUAUUUGUGGAACAUGGUACUUGCUUUGGUGUGCAA